UACGUAGGGGGCGAGCGUUGUCCGGAUUUAUUGGGCGUAAAGAGCGUGUAGGCGGCCAGAUAGGUCUGCUGUGAAAACUCGAGGCUCAACCUCGAGAUGUCGGCGGAAACCAUUUGGCUAGAGUCCGGAAGAGGAAAGUGGAAUUCCUGGUGUAGCGGUGAAAUGCGCAGAUAUCAGGAAGAACACCCGUGGCGAAGGCGGCUUUCUGGGACGGUACUGACGCUGAGACGCGAAAGCGUGGGGAGCGAACAGG
rnacentral:rRNA from 1 species